rnacentral:rRNA from 1 species
GACGAACGCUGGCGGCGUGCCUAAUACAUGCAAGUAGAACGCUGAGGACUGGUGCUUGCACCGGUCCAAGGAGUUGCGAACGGGUGAGUAACGCGUAGGUAACCUACCUCAUAGCGGGGGAUAACUAUUGGAAACGAUAGCUAAUACCGCAUAAAAGUGUUUAACCCAUGUUAAACAUUUAAAAGGUGCAAUUGCAUCACUAUGAGAUGGACCUGCGUUGUAUUAGCUAGUUGGUGAGGUAACGGCUCACCAAGGCGACGAUACAUAGCCGACCUGAGAGGGUGAUCGGCCACACUGGGACUGAGACACGGCCCAGACUCCUACGGGAGGCAGCAGUAGGGAAUCUUCGGCAAUGGACGGAAGUCUGACCGAGCAACGCCGCGUGAGUGAAGAAGGUUUUCGGAUCGUAAAGCUCUGUUGUUAGAGAAGAAUGAUGGUGGGAGUGGAAAAUCCACCAUGUGACGGUAACUAACCAGAAAGGGACGGCUAACUACGUGCCAGCAGCCGCGGUAAUACGUAGGUCCCGAGCGUUGUCCUGAUUUAUUGGGCGUAAAGCGAGCGCAGGCGGUUCUUUAAGUCUGAAGUUAAAGGCAGUGGCUCAACCAUUGUACGCUUUGGAAACUGGAGAACUUGAGUGCAGAAGGGGAGAGUGGAAUUCCAUGUGUAGCGGUGAAAUGCGUAGAUAUAUGGAGGAACACCGGUGGCGAAAGCGGCUCUCUGGUCUGUAACUGACGCUGAGGCUCGAAAGCGUGGGGAGCAAGCAAGG